UCUGUAUACCUUCAGUGUUGAUCAAACACAGGAAAUAGAGAGGACGAAAUGAGAGAAGUAUGGCACGAAAAAAACAUGCAUUUGCACAUGACUUAAUUUCACAGAAACAAAAUGAGCUGGAUUCCCACACAGUAGACAUUUGUUGCCAUUACCACAUUCACAAUGUGUAUGAACAAGGUAAGGGAAUGACUUGCAACUAGCCAUCUUUGCAUUGUUCUCUGUGAUACUGCCACGGCAUUUCUUGCAAAUAAGCAAUGGUUUCUCAAUUUCUUGAACACCUCCAAAUAGAAAAGGUACAAUUAGCAUUUUAGAAAAUAAGGACAUGGAUUAAAAAUAGGGAAAGUUUGCAUCAUGAAUAAUAACAAGUGACCAGAAUAUGUUAUUGUCUCAGGAUCACAUGUAUAAACCAUGUGUUCAAACUAAAAUUAAUAUAUUGAUAAACAAAAGUCUUAGAACAGAAUGAGACACAUAAAAACACAGACAAAAAGAAGCUUUAAUUUCUUGUUUUAAGAUAAGAUUGUUAAUACACAAUAUGUAGUUUAUGGAGAAUAUACCUAUUGAGCUGCCUUCUUCAGGUAUUAUCUUAACUUUCUCUACUCCAUCCACACAGCCAUCGUCAAUAUACUUCAAAGUUCAUACAUUGUGAAGAGAAAAUGCAUUUAGUAGGCACUAUCUUAACAAAGUAAAAAAGGACCAUUAAUGCUUCAGUUGCCACACAGCUAUAUUGCAAGUACAGAGAGUUUUACUAUUUUGUUGUUAUUAAGUUGUAUUUUGUUUGUUGCAAUGUAGGAUUUAGGAUUAUUGAGAAUUGAAUAUAGAUUAUCUGAUUUUCCCUUCCCUUCUUCUAUUCUUUCCUCCCUACUUUCUGAUCAAAUUUUCCUUCCAUUUCUACUGAUUUCUUACUUGACACUGCAUAUCUUAGCUCAAUAUUUCCAGUAUAUUACAAGUUUGCCGCCUAGGCUGAUUUGAUUUUUAAAACAUUGGGUAUCAGCUUGGACUUUAGGACAACCUCCCAUGAAUGGAAAUCUGCAAAGCAUUGUUCCAACACAGAGGUAGAAUAGUACCUGUGGGGGUUAAUAGGCCUGGAAAUCCCAGAACAAUGGAAUUGAACAGAUUGAGGGAAUAAGGACUGUGCUUUACGUGCAGGGAGAGAUGGCAGCCAGGGCAUAGGUGCAGGGAAAGAAAUACGAACAGAAGAAAGAGUUGAAUAACUUGAAUUAGAAACUGGUGGUUUUAGAAAAUGGAGAGCUGAAACCACACAAGUAUCCUUUAAUGCUGUUUACAGUAGGGGAGGGUUAAUAAAAUUAAACUCCAAGGAUUAGGGCAGACAGACUUUUUCUAUACUGAUAGACAGUGGCAUUACUCACUCCUUGAACCCACAACUUGCUCAGAGUAAAGAGUAGAACAUCUGCAAGAAGCAGGUUUAGUAGUGACAAUAGUUAAUGACGAAAAAGUUAGGUGUGACACUUCCUGUCCUAAAUUCCAAUGGAACAUGCAAGGCAAUUUGUUUGAGCAUGAUGCCAUGAUGUCUACCUACUGAAGCUUGGGGGAUGUGACAUGGUCCUAGGAAUGGACUGGAUUCACAAGCAUUCAGGACUUCUCUUAGAAACUGCUCCAACCAGCAGUACCCAACUAUCAAGGUAAAAGGGUCAAGUUUGAGGGACUAAGCCCCAACAGGCAAUGUAAACAGGUUGAAUUCCAGGAGAUUGGAAGGGAAAUUCAUCAAGAC